UUUCUGUAGGUGAACCUGCGGAAGGAUCAUUAAUGUGUUUGGGCCUCACGGCUCUUCAUUCCGACGCUGUGCGCCUUCGGGCUGCACGCUGAGGGAGCAUAUAUCCACCCCUGUGCACACACACGGUGGCGAGCUGGGUAACGGCUCGCCGCUGAUCUUUACACACGUCUAAAAGUCAUUGUAUGUUUAUUUGAGAUAAAAACACAACUUUCAGCAACGGAUCUCUUGGCUCUC
rnacentral:misc_RNA from 1 species